UAGGGAAUCUUCCACAAUGGGCGAAAGCCUGAUGGAGCAAUAUCGCGUGGGUGAUGAAGGUCGAAAGAUCGUAAAGCCCUUUUCUGAGGGAAGAAUUAUGACGGUACCUCAGGAAUAAGCACCGGCUAACUCCGUGCCAGCAGCCGCGGUAAUACGGAGGGUGCAAGCGUUACCCGGAAUCAUUGGGCGUAAAGCGUCCGCAGGCGGUUAUGUAAGUCGAAUAUUAAAUCUUGGAGCCCAACUUCGAGACUGUGUUUGAAACUGCAUUGACUAGAGUUUUUCAGAGGCACGUGGAAUUCUGUGUGUAGGGGUUAAAUCCGUAGAUAUACAGAGGAACACCAAAAGCGAAG
rnacentral:rRNA from 1 species